ensembl:lncRNA
UUAAUGCAUCAACAUUUAUAAGUAUAUUUCCAAUGAGGUCACUCACAUGAAAUUUUCACCAGACUUUGGUAUUAACUCAAGAAAUCCACACAUACAAUGAAAUCCAAACAAUAAAGUCCAUAAAUUAAGUUAUGUGUAAUAAAGCGGAAUGACACAGGAAAAAAGUAUUGAACACACUAACUGAAAUUUAUUUAAUACUUAGUGGAGAAGCCUUUGUUUGCAAUGACAGCUUCAAGACGCCUCCUGUAUGACGAAAUUAAUUGGCCGCAGUAUUCAGGUGUGGUUUUGGCCCAUCCUUCUAAACAUGUUGUCUUUAAAUCUUGUUCAAUUGGAUUCAAGUUAGGCGACUGACGGCCAUUCUAACGCCUUGCUUUGUUUUUUUCUGAAACCAAUUUAGAGUUUCAUUUGCUGUAUGCUUUGGAUCGUUGUCCUGCUGGAAGGUCCACUCACGUCUCAUCAUCAUCCUGGUGGAUGGCAGCAGAUUCUUCUCACGAAUCUCUCGAUGGCUAUAAAGAGGGCAGGAGGAAAGUCAAAGAGGGCAGGACCUGGUCAGACCUCCAGUCAGACUUGGAAGUGUCUGGGCAAAGACCACCAAGGUUGCUGUCAGACUUACGAGGAGCUCCCCAGCAAUCAUCAGAACCAGGAGGUCCAGGUGCAGCCUUUGGAUAUUGAGGAAGGUUUACUGCCCCUGCAAGACCUUCCUCAACUGUGUAGUCUGGAGCAAAGGAUGCAAAAAAUGAGCCCAGAUUACGAGUAAAAACUGUUUUAGGUAAACUGGUCGGUGCUUAUUGACGGGCGGAUGUGCGUGACUGCACCUGGCACAUAUUGAAGAGGGUGACUGCCAAAUCCCUGGCAACAGCAAUUGGAGGGCCAUCAGUGGAAAGACUUCUCCAACUGAGAAGUCGUGAUCAACGUACUCGCUACGUUCCAGCAAAGUAGGCCUAUAAGCUAUAAUGUCAGUACGACAAAUAUGGGAAUCACGUGGUGGGAAUGUUAUUUGGUACUUCGCUGUGACUGAUAUGGUCUAAUCUGGUUAGUUGUUUACAACAUACCAGUUUAGUUGUUUAGAGAUAAUACUAGGCCUGAGUGAUAUGGACAAAAUUAAGUAUCACAAAAUCUCUGCUGAGGAUGGCCCCACACGGACAGCCUGAAGAUCAUUGAGGUGACUGAGGAUGGUACCACGUAAAACCCAUGAAGAUGUCUUUGGACUUCAGUUCAUAUGAACAGUUAUGCUACGAUGACUUAGGACAAUUGCUAUGAUAGCUUUAAGAAUGCAAUUAUCAGGACCAGUUUUGGACUCGAGUCUUCAUCAGUGAACAGUGGAGUUCAACAAAACAGACUUCAUGUGAAAACUUUAAUGAAUUUUCCUGGUUACACAACUGCAUUGUUGACCAUGUAGUACACAGUUAUAGAAGUGGAAUGAAUUAUAAUCACACUAUCUGGUGUCACCCAGGUGAGGAUGGGUUCCCUAUUGAGUCUGGUUCCUUUCAAGGUUUCUUCCUCAUAUCAUCUCAGGGAGUUUUUCCUCACCUUCCUUAACUAUGGCUUGCUCAUUAGGGAUAAAUUCAUACAUUUAACAUCUAUAUCCUGAAUUUAUAUAUUUCUGUAAAGCUGCUUUGUGACAAUGUCCACUGUUAAAAGUGAUACAAAUAAAACUGAAUUGAAUGUCUGACUGAAUACCUCGGUAUCAAUAUUGUGACCAUAUUGUAGGGAUACAGUUAGUGUUUUCAUAAGAUAUUUGCAUAGUUAUAUUUUUUAUAAACAGUCAUUAGUAAUGUGGAUAUGGAUGUUCAAGGUUUUGAGAGUUCAUAAUAGUGAAAAAUUCUGACAUCGGACUGCUGUAAUAGGUGUGAUAUAAAUGUUAUGAACAGUAAAUACCUCUUGAAUGUCCUUCUCAGUCUUCA